UACGUAGGGGGCAAGCGUUGUCCGGAUUUAUUGGGCGUAAAGAGCGUGUAGGCGGCCAGGUAGGUGGGUUGUGAAAACUGGAGGCUCAACCUUCAGAGGUCGACCCAAACCCCCUGGCUAGAGUCCGGAAGAGGAGAGUGGAAUUCCUGGUGUAGCGGUGAAAUGCGCAGAUAUCAGGAAGAACACCGAUGGCGAAGGCAGCUCUCUGGGACGGUACUGACGCUGAGACGCGAAAGCGUGGGGAGCGAACAGG
rnacentral:rRNA from 1 species